rnacentral:rRNA from 1 species
AACGAACGCUGGCGGCAUGCCUAACACAUGCAAGUCGAACGAUGCCUUCGGGCAUAGUGGCGCACGGGUGCGUAACGCGUGGGAAUCUGCCUUUCGGUUCGGAAUAACUCAGGGAAACUUGAGCUAAUACCGGAUAACGUCGCAAGACCAAAGAUUUAUCACCGAAAGAUGAGCCCGCGUAGGAUUAGCUAGUUGGUGAGGUAAAGGCUCACCAAGGCGACGAUCCUUAGCUGGUCUGAGAGGAUGAUCAGCCACACUGGGACUGAGACACGGCCCAGACUCCUACGGGAGGCAGCAGUGGGGAAUAUUGGACAAUGGGCGAAAGCCUGAUCCGGCAAUGCCGCGUGAGUGAUGAAGGCCUUAGGGUUGUAAAGCUCUUUUACCCGGGAAGAUAAUGACGGUACCGGGAGAAUAAGCCCCGGCUAACUCCGUG